GAUCCUGGCUCAGGACGAACGCUGGCGGCGUGCCUAACACAUGCAAGUCGAACGGAGUUAAGCUCUUCGGAACUUGACUUAGUGGCGAACGGGUGAGUAACGCGUGAGGAACCUGCCUUUCAGUGGGGGACAACAGUUGGAAACGACUGCUAAUACCGCAUGACACUUUUGGGAGACAUCUCCUGGAAGUCAAAGCUUUAUGUGCUGAAAGAUGGCCUCGCGUCUGAUUAGCUGGUUGGUG
rnacentral:rRNA from 1 species